CUACGGGUGGCUCCAGUGGGGAAUAUUGCACAAUGGACGAAAGUCUGAUGCAGCGAUUCUGCGUGGAGGAUGAAGCAUUACGGUGUGUAAACUCCUUUUUUGGUAGAAGACGAAUGACAGUAUACCAAGAAUAAGGGACGGCUAACUAUGUGCCAGCAGCCGCGGUUAUACAUAGGUCCCAAGCGUUAUCCGGAUUUACUGGGCGUAAAGUGUCCGUAGCCUGAUGUGUAAGUCUGUUUUCAAAUACUGUGGCUCAACCAUAGAAAGGGAAUAGAUACUGCCCAUCUGGAAGUUGUUGGGGGUUAGUGGAAUUUCAGGUGGAGCGGUGAAAUGCGUUGAUAUCUGAAAGAACGCCGAAAGCGAAAGCAGCUAACUACAAUAAACUUGACGGUGAUGGACGAAAGCUUGGGGAGCGAACGGGAUUAGAUACCCGUGUAGUC
rnacentral:rRNA from 1 species